GCUUUAUUGGCCAGUUCUGCUCCUGAGUUUCGGGUUUGGCAAUCUUGUCUCAUGUUGCAAGACCAAUUACUGUUUUCUUCCUUCAGUGCAAGAAUCCAAACCACAAAGGAACAUUGUUCCUUAUGUCUAACCUUCAUCAUGCAGACAGGCCUAAUGACCUCUGCUGAGAGCUUGCAGAUGCUAUGGAACAACCUAAAGAGAAGGACAUGUAACCGCACCAAGGCUGGCGUUAACCCAGAGUGAGCAGAGCGGCACCUGUUACUCAUGAGCCAGGCAUUGUAUCGAUGAAGAAAACAGACUCCUGGACUUGUGGAGCUCAAGAUUUUAGCAUAGAGUUGGGGUUGGAGAGAAAGACAACACAUCAAAGGCAAUAGAGAAAUAAACG